AUCGCUUCUCGGCCUUUUGGCUAAGAUCAAGUGUAGUAUCUGUUCUUAUCAGUUUAAUAUCUGAUACGUCCCCUACCCGGGGACUGCAUAUUAAAUUGAUUUUUGGACCACGGAGCUGGAGCCGGGGCUUGCUCCGUCCACUCCAAACAUCGGCCUGGUUGCAGUGCAGUGUUUCCAGGAACGGUGUGCUUCUC